rnacentral:rRNA from 1 species
UACGGAGGGGGCUAGCGUUGUUCGGAAUUACUGGGCGUAAAGCGCACGUAGGCGGCUUUGUAAGUUAGAGGUGAAAGCCUGGAGCUCAACUCCAGAAUUGCCUUUAAGACUGCAUCGCUUGAAUCAUGGAGAGGCGGGUGGAAUUCCGAGUGUAGAGGUGAAAUUCGUAGAUAUUCGGAAGAACACCAGUGGCGAAGGCGGCUCACUGGCCCGUUACCGACGCUCAGGCGCGACAGCGUGGGGAGCAAACAGG